AUCAGCUCUGAAACUUGCCCUUUCUGUGCCUUGGCUUACUCAUCUAUGGAAUGAGUCAUACUGUUGCCAUGGAGAUUGAAUAGGCGGCUGGCACAGUGCUUCUAACGGCACCUGGAACAUAGUAAAUACUGUAUAGGAACUUACUCUCCACACACUGUUCUUCCUGGCUGCCCCACUGUUCCUUCUCUUCUACAGCUGGCUAUGAUAAGUGGCUUGGUUGCUGCUGUUGUGCCCAUCUGGGCAAGAAGCCAAGGUCAAGCUGGGAGCCUCAGGCCCCAGUCCAAACACCCAAUGGGAGAUCAUUUGUCUGUGAAGCUGCCUGCUUCCCAGCAGGUUGUAAAAGUGAGAACAUGCAGAGUGUGGCUUUACUUCCAGCAUGCAAGGAAGAACAAGUCCACCAGGAACUCAGAAUUAACAUCUCAAGAAAUGAUGGUGCCAGCUGGUGACUGUCUCUAUGAUUAUCUCUUCAGAUUAUCAUUAUUUUAUGCAAACUGCAAUUGGCAAUGUUACCAGUUUGCCACAGGGUAAGUAAAGAUUUGGCUCAAAUCUGAGACCAAAUUAUAUGAUUUCUGACAAAUA